UACAGAGGUCUCAAGCGUUGUUCGGAUUCAUUGGGCGUAAAGGGUGCGUAGGUGGCGCGCUAAGUCAGGUGUGAAAUUUCGGAGCUCAACUCCGAAACUGCAUUUGAUACUGGCGUGCUUGAGGACUGGAGAGGAGACUGGAAUUUACGGUGUAGCAGUGAAAUGCGUAGAGAUCGUAAGGAAGACCAGUGGCGAAGGCGGGUCUCUGGACAGUUCCUGACGCUGAGGCGCGAAGGCCAGGGGAGCAAACGGG
rnacentral:rRNA from 1 species